GCGAAUGGUGGAUGCCUUGACUGGUAAAGGCGAUGAAGGACGUACUAGACUGCGAUAAGCUACGGGGAGCUGUCAAGAAGCUUUGAUCCGUAGAUUUCCGAAUGGGGCAACCCAAUGUAUAGAGAUAUACAUUACCUAUAUAGGAGCGAACGAGGGGAAUUGAAACAUCUUAGUACCCUCAGGAAAAGAAAUCAAUAGAGAUUGCGUCAGUAGCGGCGAGCGAAAGCGCAAGAGGGCAAACCCAGUGCUUGCACUGGGGGUUGUAGGACUGCAAUGUGCAAGAGGUAAGUUUAGCAGAACAUUCUGGAAAGUAUAACCAUAGAGGGUGAUAGUCCCGUAUGCGAAAAACAAACCUUAGCUAGCAGUAUCCUGAGUAGGGCGGGACACGAGGAAUCCUGUCUGAAUCCGGGUCGACCACGAUCCAACCCUAAAUACUAAUACCAGAUCGAUAGUGCACAAGUACCGUGAGGGAAAGGUGAAAAGAACUGAGGUGAUCAGAGUGAAAUAGAACCUGAAACCAUU
rnacentral:rRNA from 1 species